AAUCUUCCGCAAUGGACGAAAGUCUGACGGAGCAACGCCGCGUGAGCGAUGAAGGCCUUCGGGUCGUAAAGCUCUGUUGAUAGGGAAGAACAAGUAUCGGAGUAACUGCCGGUACCUUGACGGUACCUAACCAGAAAGCCACGGCUAACUACGUGCCAGCAGCCGCGGUAAUACGUAGAUGGCAAGCGUUGUCCGGAAUUAUUGGGCGUAAAGCGCGCGCAGGCGGUCCUUUAAGUCUGAUGUGAAAGCCCACGGCUCAACCGUGGAGGGUCAUUGGAAACUGGGGGACUUGAGUACAGAAGAGGAAAGCGGAAUUCCACGUGUAGCGGUGAAAUGCGUAGAGAUGUGGAGGAACACCAGUGGCGAAGGCGGCUUUCUGGUCUGUAACUGACGCUGAGGCGCGAAAGCGUGGGGAGCAAACAGG
rnacentral:rRNA from 1 species